rnacentral:rRNA from 1 species
AGUGAACGCUGGCGGUAGGCCUAACACAUGCAAGUCGAACGGCAGCACAGUAAGAGCUUGCUCUUACGGGUGGCGAGUGGCGGACGGGUGAGGAAUACAUCGGAAUCUACUUUUUCGUGGGGGAUAACGUAGGGAAACUUACGCUAAUACCGCAUACGACCUACGGGUGAAAGCAGGGGAUCUUCGGACCUUGCGCGAUUGAAUGAGCCGAUGUCGGAUUAGCUAGUUGGCGGGGUAAAGGCCCACCAAGGCGACGAUCCGUAGCUGGUCUGAGAGGAUGAUCAGCCACACUGGAACUGAGACACGGUCCAGACUCCUACGGGAGGCAGCAGUGGGGAAUAUAGGACAAUGGGCGCAAGCCUGAUCCAGCCAUACCGCGUGGGUGAAGAAGGCCUUCGGGUUGUAAAGCCCUUUUGUUGGGAAAGAAAAGCAGCAGGUUAAUACCCCGCUGUUCUGACGGUACCCAAAGAAUAAGCACCGGCUAACUUCG